GGGGCUGGUAGUAGCGCUGCCUGCAAACCAGCACCAAGGCUGCAAACGAAGCCAGAAAGAUGGUGGCCAGCACACCUAUGGCAACUAUCACCACGGUCUCCAUGCUUCCGGGGAGCUCCUGACUCAGUCCCGUUCACAUCGUCCUCAUGGGCUAAGGCUGCUGGAAGUGGCAAACUGGGGGAAGAGGAUGGCAGGAGCUAGGUUCCUCCACGACACCUCCAGAGACCUGAGGGCCUCAAGCUGCAGCUCCGGGGCACAUCCCGCUGCGCUCCCACGACGGCCCCGCGGAUGGCAAAGUCAGCGGCAUCGCCUAUGCAGGCAAUCAAAGGAUGUUGAUGGAUAAGUGUUUCAGGCAGAAUAAUGGCCCUCAAAGAUGUUGACACCAGAAUCUUCAGAACCUUUGCAUAUGUUACCUAACAUGACAAAAGGGACUUUGCUGAUGUGAUUAAGGUUAAGAACUUUGAGAAGGGAAGAUUAUCCUGGAUUAUACAGGUCGACGUUUAUUUCUUUCUGAACUUUCCUGGAGGAUCAUCGGCCAUACUCCAGCAGAAGGGUGGAUUUGAAAAAAUAACGAGAUACUCCCAAAGUCCCAUCCAGUUAUAUCAUCAGGUUGAAAUUCCAGGAUCUCUUGGUGAUGGGUAGUUAUCUCCAAGUGUGGCUCCUGGGGUCAGAUCACCUACAGUCUAAGAGAAGGUUCUUUUUCUCCGCCAAUGGUGAUAGAUUUGGCACCAAAAAAAGAAGAGAAGAAACAUGACAGUCAUUGUUUCCACAGUGGACUUUCUCCAUACUUUCUGAGUUAUCAGUUACUUUUGAUCAACAGAAGUACCGCUAAAGACACAUCCCAAAAAAAGAUUAUCAGGAGAAACUUGAUUUCCUUAAUCUUUAAGGAGCACUUCUACACUAAAAAAAAAAAAA
rnacentral:lncRNA from 1 species